ACCGAUCCGUCUGUCCCAAACUUGAGUCAAAAACAUACAUUUUGGUUAACCUUAUAUACUGUAUAACAUAGCACUGUAUUAUAUUGGAGGUUUAUCUACAUAACCAAUAGUUCUAAUCAUAAGAGUCACUGCUGGCUUUCAAGAAAUGUACAGACAGUCUCUCUCACUCUCUCUCACACACACACACACACACACACACACACCAACAUUAUUUGCAUCAUUUAUCAGAUAAUUGUGCAUUAAUAUACUUAAUGUAGCCUGGCUUAUGAUAAACAAGAAAAACAUUUAAUUUGACAUAUGUCUGCUGCUAUGUUUCAGAGCUAAGACCAAACAAACAGCAGCCUACCUUUAACUCGCGCUACGAUUCUUUGUUCGUUUUUCCCGGGGCCACAACUAUUUUUUCAGACACAACAUUUCUGCCUCCCUCUCCUCGACUACAGAUUAUGUCACACAUCAAUGCUAUAUUUUCAUUGGCUAGACAAAGUAGUGUAAAGCUAGCUACAAACUACACUCAUAUGCUAACUCAUAUUAGCAAUACGGUGAAAAUACAGAGACACUUUUCAGAGUAAAGACCGUCGCCCGAGUGUCCUUUCUGCUUUCUCUCAUCAGUCACUUUCCUACAGUAUUUAGACAUGUAAACGUCCAUAUAUAUUCAUGAUAUUUGACACGUAGAUUCUUUGAUAUGUAUGAAUUAAUAUUACUGGGCGAUCGACAAAGAAAAUGACAGCGAAAUGACCGGAAAGUGCGCCACGACGGAAUCGUUUGAGAUGGGCCAAUAGCGGCUAGCGCCGUCCGAGAUAGGUCAUCUUUACGUUACGUGUUGAGGUGUACGAUAGAGAGAGUUAGAUGCGCUUAGAGCAGACAGGAGUUAGCGAUGGGGCAGAGGAAAAGUAAGUAUCGUUAAGUGGUUAAGCGGUAACGUUAUUAAAUGUAAAGUUUGGGUUAACUGUGUUUGAUUUGUUAAAGAAACUAAGUGUGCCAUUAACCUACAUGGAACUAAUAUUAGCUAGCUGUUUAUAAUUGUCUUGAACAGGGACUAGAACAGGUUUUUUAAUCACAGUUGACUUUGUAGCAGGGCUUUCCCUCCCGUUAUAUAGGGCGAAGGACCUUUCUGCACAUGAAUAUAAAAUCAAUGUGGAGAGCUUCAGGGCUGUGAAAGUCCUCGCAACCACAUUUAAGGAUGAUGGAUGGUAAAGAAUUGACAAGAAAAAUGUACAGUGUCCAAAGCACAAACCAACUUCUGGAAAAGACGAGCAAAUUGGGAUUUGUCCUUGAAAGGAUUUUAAAAAACACAGAUUUCCAAGAGUUUACUGAUGUUGAUAGUAGUGUACAGAUAAGGAACCUUGACAGAUUCCAAGUUCCCAUUUUCAACCUGUUGCAAGAGAAGUCUGUCUAACUCAGGUACAUUUUCAUUUAUAUUUUUUGGGGUUAUGUGUACAUAUUGUCAAAUUUUGCUCCAAAGAAUCUCAUGGAAAUUAGUCUAAAUUUCUGCUUUCUGCGGCUUUGCUCUUAGUUCUCUUUUAAGCCUAUAAAGGAGCCGGAUGUACAGGAUGGAUUGAGGCCUCUCCUCGAAAAGAAAGUUCCUGAAAGUUCCUGAACUCCAAACUCAAGGCAUUUUUACAGAAAAAACAGGCUGAAACUCGUCAAAGUUUGCGUCUCUGACUUGGUGGAGAGGCACGGAUUGUAAGUUUUGCAGUUUAUAAUAAGAGUGAUUAAACAAAUAUGCUCACUUGCCACGAUUGGACUUUUAAAAUCAUAUACAGCAUAUGUUUAUUGUAUGUAUAUAUAUCAGCGAACAGGUGGAUGCUGUCCAUAGAAGGCCGUGUGGUAAUCACAUAUUUACCUCCCAUGCCAGAUUUCACAACUGCCCUGCCCUUGGGUAUCAGGUGGAAGCAGCCACAACGUAUACAAAGGGAUCUGCUAUUCAUUUUGCACUGUGGAGCUGAUGGACUGAAUAGUGAUGGACUCACUAAGAAGCAAGGAGCCACAGACCACUUUGCUCAGUGAAGUCACCUCAGUUCGUCCAUGGAACAGGGUGAGCUCUCUUUGUAUGUAAAGGGGAAACGGUAUUAUUAAGAUGUUACUGUCAUUGUUAUAAGUUUUAAAGGGAACUGUUACGGAUACAUAUGCUUGGUCCAAUUUCCAUAAAAUAUAGCAAUUGUUAAGUAUGAACUGUACUGUAUACUAAUGUGUAUAGUACACUGUUUUUGCAGUUAGCAUUAAGGUUUUCAUGGAGAUGUAAACACCUUUUAAGCUGUCUACCUCAAAUUCCUCCUGUAGAGUACAUGUUAACAUUAAAAUUGACAGAAGAAAAGGCCUCAUAUUUUUGUGUUGAUUUGUUAUCGCCACGGUUUCAAAUAUUGCAAUAUUCAUGUUUUUGGAUAUUAAUAUCCAUCGUUUUGUGAUUGCUAAUAUUGUAAAUGUUUAGAGAUUACAGCUGCUUGUCAGUUAUGCACAUUUCAGAAGACAGAAGAUAAUUGUCAUUGGGUUAUCAAAAGAAAACAAAAUUCCUAGUGCAUUAUGUUUGUUGAAGCCACGGUAUACUCGCAAGCACAGGAAUAACGUUAUCCUUGCUACUGUUCAACAACUAAGAAUAAAUUGUUAAAAAUG